UUUCCCCGUCCCAGCCGCUAUAAAAAGGGAAUGCGCGAGCCCACUGGAGUUCCCUCCGCCAUUGCUGCCUUCCGCCAUUUCUCUUGCUCCCUGCUCAAGCUCCUAGCGCCACACCUAAGUUCCUGAGGAACUCUCCUCUCAGCUCCCCUUCGUUUUCCCCAAGCCACCCCAGCCGCUUGCUCCUCCGUGCCGCGUAAGAGCUCACUUAUGAUCCACAAGAAGCACCGCCGCCACCGGAGCACUGCGGGACCUUGCCGCUGUUCAAAGCCUUAGUCCCUCCGCCCAAGUCUGCCUCUUCCCGAUCCCAAGCUUUCCUCGUAGGAAGAAGAAGGUAAGCUGCCGACCCCAGUCUGCUUCGCCCGACCCCUCUUAUCCGCCCGACCCCGGUUCCGUCUCGCCCGACCCCAUUUGUUCCGCCGACCCCUCUCCGCCUCGCCCAAGGGCUCGGCUGUGAUCUUUUUCUUCAACCUGAGAGUGUAUGUGUAAAACAUAGGAACUCUUCAGCGCUUGCGUCUGAGGAUCCCUCGUAUACCAC
rnacentral:lncRNA from 1 species